rfam:Thalassotalea sp. PP2-459 NODE_18_length_66206_cov_32.202354, whole genome shotgun sequence.
GCACAGGCGUUAUUCGACGCCACCCUGAUAUAAAAUGGCUUCGUA